UACGGAGGGAGCUAGCGUUGUUCGGAAUUACUGGGCGUAAAGCGCGCGUAGGCGGCUUUGUAAGUUAGAGGUGAAAGCCUGGAGCUCAACUUCAGAAUUGCCUUUAAGACUGCAUCGCUAGAAUCCAGGAGAGGUGAGUGGAAUUCCGAGUGUAGAGGUGAAAUUCGUAGAUAUUCGGAAGAACACCAGUGGCGAAGGCGGCUCACUGGACUGGUAUUGACGCUGAGGUGGCGAAAGCGUGGGGAGCAAACAGG
rnacentral:rRNA from 1 species